rnacentral:lncRNA from 1 species
CUGUCUAUACUCUUGUACUGGUCAAUGCUGAGAAGCGAGUCUAUGAGGACAACUUCCUUCUGAGGACUUUCCCUAUCAGACAUAUGGUCAUCCAUUUCUUCCUCACUGCUGUCCUCUUCACUGUCAGGUUUAGGCUGAGGCCAGUGAAAACUUUCAGAAAAGGCACCUUCAUACAUCUUCAGCAAAUCAUCCAGAGGUAAUUCAGCUUCUUUAACUAGAUUAGACAAUUCAGUUUGAUGGUUUAUAUUUCCUUCUUUAGCUUCUUGUUCUUCAAUUGUUUCUUCUUCAUCUUCAACUUCCUCAUCAGUCAAAGAUGUGCUUGCCUUUCUUUUCC